rnacentral:rRNA from 1 species
UACGUAGGGGCCUAGCGUUGUCCGGAUUUAUUGGGCGUAAAGAGCUCGUAGGCGGUUUGGUAAGUCGGGUGUGAAAUCUCCACGCUCAACGUGGAGGGGCCACCCGAUACUGCCAUGACUGGAGUCCGGUAGGGGAGAGUGGAAUUCCUGGUGUAGCGGUGAAAUGCGCAGAUAUCAGGAAGAACACCCGUGGCGAAAGCGGCUCUCUGGAACGGUACUGACGCUGAGACGCGAAAGCGUGGGGAGCAAACAGG